GCUCGCGUAGCUCAGUUGGUUAGAGCAUCGCUCUUAUGCGGUUACCUAUUCAUGGAAUUCAUUCCGCGGAUGCACAUUCAAUGCGGGGGUCCUGAGUUCAAACCUCAGCGUGAGUA